rfam:Sphaerulina musiva SO2202 unplaced genomic scaffold SEPMTscaffold_2, whole genome shotgun sequence.
GGUUGUAUAGUGUAGCGGUUAUCACAUCGGAUUCUGAUGUUCAGAAUGUUCCGGGAACCCCGGUUCGAUUCCGGGUACGACCU